rnacentral:rRNA from 1 species
UACGUAGGGUGCAAGCGUUGUCCGGAAUUAUUGGGCGUAAAGAGCUCGUAGGCGGUCUGUCGCGUCUGCUGUGAAAACUCGGGGCUUAACCCCGGGCCUGCAGUGGGUACGGGCAGACUAGAGUGCGGUAGGGGAGACUGGAAUUCCAUGUGUAGCGGUGAAAUGCGUAGAUAUCGAGAGGAACACCUGCGGCGAAGGCGGGUUGCUGGGCUGACACUGACGCUGAAGCGCGAAAGCUAGGGGAGCGAACGGG